CCUACGGGUGGCAGCAGUGAGGAAUAUUGGUCAAUGGGCGCGAGCCUGAACCAGCCAAGUAGCGUGAAGGAUGACUGCCCUACGGGUUGUAAACUUCUUUUAUAAAGGAAUAAAGUGAGGUACGUGUGCCUGUUUGUAAGUACCUUAUGAAUAAGGAUCGGCUAACUCCGUGCCAGCAGCCGCGGUAAUACGGAGGAUCCGAGCGUUAUCCGGAUUUAUUGGGUUUAAAGGGUGCGUAGGUGGGUUGUUAAGUCAGAUGUGAAAUGUUGCGGCUCAACCGUAAAAUUGCAAUUGAUACUGGUAGUCUUGAGUAUAGUUGAGGUAGGCGGAAUUCGUGGUGUAGCGGUGAAAUGCUUAGAUAUCACGCAGAACACCGAUUGCGAAGGCAGCUUACUAAACUGCCACUGACGUUGAUGCUCGAAAGUGUGGGUAGCAAACAGGAUUAGAUACCCGAGUAGUC
rnacentral:rRNA from 1 species